AUUGAACGCUGGCGGCAUGCCUUACACAUGCAAGUCGAACGGCAGCGCGGACUUCGGUCUGGCGGCGAGUGGCGAACAGGUGAGUAAUACAUCGGAACGUACCCAGUUGUGGGGGAUAACUAGUCGAAAGAUUAGCUAAUACCGCAUACGACCUGAGGGUGAAAGUGGGGGACCGCAAGGCCUCACGCAGCAGGAGCGGCCGAUGUCUGAUUAGCUAGUUGGUGGGGUAAAGGCCCACCAAGGCGACGAUCAGUAGCUGGUCUGAGAGGACGAUCAGCCACACUGGGACUGAGACACGGCCCAGACUCCUACGGGAGGCAGCAGUGGGGAAUUUUGGACAAUGGGGGCAACCCUGAUCCAGCAAUGCCGCGUGUGUGAAGAAGGCCUUCGGGUUGUAAAGCACUUUUGUCCGGAAAGAAAUCGCGCUGGUUAAUACCUGGCGUGGAUGACGGUACCGGAAGAAUAAGCACCGGCUAACUACGUGCCAGCCGCCGCAGUAA
rnacentral:rRNA from 1 species